UACAGUGGGCUCGUCCCAAAGGGUCAGACGAAGACCUCUGACCUAUGAGUCAUGACUGUUACGAAUGCCUGUUUGAUAUUUAUCAUAGCUUGUGGUGACAUAAUCAUUUUCUGAAAAAAAUGUUUGUGACUGAAAAAUCGUUUACUAGGUGACAAAAACGACUGAAAAAUAUUUCUAAACUUGUGUAGUUGUAUAAGAUAACAAGAAACGCUUCCACAGAAGGACGUGCUCUCAUAUCCCAGUUCUAUAUUGGACUGAAUGAAAACACGACCGCAGAAACUCUUAAAUGAAAAUUUGUUUCUAGGAGUCCCUAUAGAGGGCCUUGCAAUCACUCUCAGAGACACAUCAAGACCAUCGCAUGUAACCGUGAUGUGUGAAGAUGAACGUCCAAAAUAGCUGAAGAGACGAUGUUCAUGAUUGUAUUCUGUAACGCACAAGAAGGAAGAAACCAAUCAGUAGAUAGGUGUCACGAGAUGUCUAUUCUUUACGAAAUUGCCUUUCUUGACUAGAAAUCAAUAACCUAAGGACUCG